AGAUGAAAGGCAGGACCAAAAAGGCAAGAGGAAAGUUGUUCAAACAUCUCCAGGUCCUGUGGCAUACACAGUGGGGUCUCAAGACACACUGAUGUCCAUCACACUGAAGUUCAGCAUGACCCAGAAUAAACUGGGGCAGCUCAAUCGCCUCUUCUCCGGGACUGCAGUGCCAAGCCAGGAACCAGCUCUCUAUCCCCUGGACCCUGCAACCCUACCUCCA